GAUGAACGCUAGCUACAGGCUUAACACAUGCAAGUCGAGGGGAAACGACAUCGAAAGCUUGCUUUUGAUGGGCGUCGACCGGCGCACGGGUGAGUAACGCGUAUCCAACCUGCCCAUCACUUGGGAAUAACCUUGCGAAAGUAAGACUAAUACCCAAUGACAUCCCACGAAGACAUCUGAAUGGGAUUAAAGAUUUAUCGGUGCUGGAUGGGGAUGCGUCUGAUUAGCUUGUUGGCGGGGUAACGGCCCACCAAGGCAACGAUCAGUAGGGGUUCUGAGAGGAAGGUCCCCCACAUUGGAACUGAGACACGGUCCAAACUCCUACGGGAGGCAGCAGUGAGGAAUAUUGGUCAAUGGGCGAGAGCCUGAACCAGCCAAGUAGCGUGCAGGAUGACGGCCCUAUGGGUUGUAAACUGCUUUUAUAAGGGAAUAAAGUGGGUCUCGUGAGACUUUUUGCAUGUACCUUAUGAAUAAGGACCGGCUAAUUCCGUG
rnacentral:rRNA from 1 species